GGAGCCAGAACCCUGGUUCCUGUGACUGAAGCUGGCUCAAGGAUACAGCCCUGGGUGGUACUGUGCCUCCCUUCUGUCCUGGCAUAGGAAGCACAAGGGCACUUUAAGCUCUACAACCCAGAUCAGCAUAAAUCUUGGAAUUUCUUGUGGACCAAGAGUGACAGACGUGAAACAAACUCACUUCUCAGCUGGUAACUCAAACAAUGAGUUGGUUUCAGAGGCUAUUUACAAACUCUGGAGAAGAAGAACUUCAGAAAAAAGUUGGUAAGUUUUCUAAUACCCCUUUCCCCAAAGCCCUUUAAAACAACUGGUUUCUUGAUGUCUUUAUGAUUCCCUGCCUUUUAAAAAAUGUAUAAGCCGUCUGUUGGCCUCCGGUGCUCCUGGAUGUCU
rnacentral:lncRNA from 1 species